rnacentral:tRNA from 1 species
AGGUAGGUGACUGAGUGGUUUAAAGUGUCAAUUUUGAAAAUUGUUAUGGUAGAUAUACCAUCAUAGGUUCGAAUCCUAUCUUACCUA